AAUGGAAUUGCUAGAUCAUAUGGUAAAUGUAUGCUUAAUUUUUAAAGAAACUGUCAAACUGUCUCCCAAAGUGACUGUACCAUUUUGCAUUCCCACCAGCAAU
rnacentral:pre_miRNA from 1 species